GGGUCAGUAGGUUGGUCGUGCCACCGGUACGUACUGGUCUCACUGAUUCCUCCUUCCUGAAGAACCGUAAUGCCAUUAAUUUGGUGUUGUGGGGUAACAGGACUGUUACUUUGAAAAAAUUAGAGUGUUUAAAGCAAGCUAACGCUUGAAUACAUUAGCAUGGAAUAAUGAAUUAGGACGAUCGAUCCUAUUUUGUUGGUUUCUAGGAUUGACGUA
rnacentral:rRNA from 1 species